GUCCAGCGUCAACACCAACGACGGGAAGGCGUCGCGACGCACGCGCCCUUCUUUCCCCAGCGGUUUGAAGUGAGGCGCGCUCCCGCUCGCGGUCGUGCUUUGCCCCGCCCCUUCUUGUACUGCAGUUGCUUUCGCUCCCUGCUCGGUUCUCACCCACGUCCAGUUUGCCCACACGGCAGCUCCAGCCGCCUGGACAGGGACUGUGGAAGAACCUCAAGUCUUGCAGCCCACAGCCGCUCUCCCAGGUUAACAAAGAAAUCAGCCUCCUGGGCCAUGCCAGUACUAAGGCCUGUUUCUUCUCAUGAGCCCCAGCAGAAGACAGAGUGGCCAGCCCUCAAAGUGGAUGACUUCCCCUCCCUGAGCAAGAGAUGGGAUAGUACCUGGGAUCUGCCGGUCACCAGACUCUGGGCUUAAUAAGCCAGCUGAAUGAAGGGAUGUAACAAACCCCUGGGAGGGACGUUGAAACUGCAGUGGGGGGGAGGGGACUGGACAUCCCCCUUCCCCCCAGACUCCUCCCCCUCAGAGUCCACUCAGCCAUGGACUUUGGACCUGGAUGAGAGGAGAGAAGCUCCACUUGGUGUUUCUGGGAUUUUCAGUUUUGGAAAUAGAGUGCUGGAUGGGGGUUUGAUGACCACCAGGGGAGCAACUGAGAGAAGAGAAAAAAGGUACAUGGCUGCUUUCUAAUCCCACAGUCUAGAGGAAGCCUCCCUAGAACUGUGGGGCAGUCUCAGUCCCACCCUUGCUGCCUCCCCAGUGGGGGCCAGGAUGCUGAAGAAGCAGUCUGCAGGGCUUGUGCUGUGGGGCGCCAUCCUCUUUGUGGCCUGGAACGCACUGCUGCUACUCUUCUUCUGGACGCGCCCAGCACCAAGCAGGCUGCCCUCAGACAGCGCUCUGGAUGAUGACCCGGCUGGCCUCACCCGCGAGGUGAUCCGCCUGGCCCAGGACGCCGAGGUGGAGUUGGAGCGGCAGCGGGGGCUCUUGCAGCAGAUCAGGGACCACCAUGUGCGGUGGAACCAGCGAUGGAGGGUGCCCUCUGUGGCUCCACCUGUCCCUGUGACCUCGCCACCAGCCGUGAUCCCCAUCCUUGUCAUCGCCUGUGACCGCAGCACUGUCCGACGCUGCCUGGACAAACUGCUGCAUUACCGGCCCUCGGCAGAGCGCUUCCCCAUCAUUGUCAGCCAGGACUGUGGGCACGAGGAGACUGCGCAGGUCAUAGCCUCUUAUGGCAGCGCCAUAACACACAUCCGGCAGCCGGACCUGAGCACCAUCCCAGUGCCACCUGACCACCGCAAGUUCCAGGGCUACUAUAAGAUCGCAAGGCACUACCGCUGGGCGCUGGGCCAGGUCUUCCACAACUUCAAGUUCCCCGCAGCUGUGGUGGUGGAGGACGACCUGGAGGUGGCGCCAGACUUUUUUGAGUACUUCCAGGCCACCUACCCACUGCUUAGGGCUGAUCCCUCCCUGUGGUGUGUGUCUGCCUGGAAUGACAACGGCAAGGAGCAGAUGGUGGACUCGAGCAAGCCUGAGCUGCUCUACCGCACGGACUUCUUCCCAGGCCUGGGGUGGCUGCUGUUGGCAGAGCUCUGGGCAGAGCUAGAGCCCAAAUGGCCCAAGGCCUUCUGGGAUGACUGGAUGCGCAGACCCGAGCAGCGACAAGGCCGGGCCUGUGUGAGGCCUGAGAUCUCUAGAACGAUGACCUUUGGCCGCAGGGGUGUAAGCCAUGGGCAGUUCUUUGACCAGCACCUCAAGUUCAUCAAGCUGAACCAGCACUUCGUAUCCUUCACCCAGCUGGACCUAUCAUACCUGCGCCGGGAGGCCUAUGACCGCGAUUUUCUGGCCCGCGUCUAUGGUGCCCCCCUGCUGCAGGUGGAGAAAAUGGUGUCCACAGAAGUCCCAAACAAAAGGCUGCUCAUCCAAGAUGGUGCUGUCCAACCAACGAGGGCUUGGAGCCUGUGGCAGCUGGAGGUGCUCACAGGCAGGGCUGCUAAGAUGACCCCGCAGCAACCUGCAGCAACAGUCUGAAGGUCAGGAUGAACAGCCCUGGACACUGGACCAAACACCAACAGAGGCAACAGCACCAGAAGGUGAUGAUGGAUGAUACAAUCAACAGCCCUUUAUGAGAUGCUGGCCCACACCAACAUCACACAGUGAGACACUAGGCCUGGGGCCUUCGGUGCUUUUCCAGGAGAUGGCAGUGAAAAGACCAGUGGCAAUUCAGCGUCCCAGUCACUGCAAAACUUCUAGCUUCUCUCUCUUCGGAGGCUGGCUACCAAGGCAUGCUUCUACUUCUUGAAAGACCGGGUACCAAGUAGCAGGAGUUCUGGAGUCAGCGUCCAGGUUUGGUCAGAGUGUGGACUUUGGCCCUGUCAAUGCCAUAGAUUGUCCUCACAGCCUGUUCCAUCCAGUGCUUGUUGCCUUGACAUCAGCAAUGAAUGAGCUUCAACCACACGUUCACAUCUUAGGCAGGAAAAAUGGGGAAAGAAGGGCAAGAGGCAGAAGCAGCUUCCAGCACUCCUUUCUUGGAAGCUGAGAAACGGAAUCUGAUUACAACUGCCUGGUCAGAACUGAAUCAUGCAGACACACCCACCGAAAGAGAGGCUGGGAUAGUAAGUAACUGCUCAGUUACCAUUCCUUUUACUAAAGAAGAAGCUGGUGGUUGUACGGCAAACCAGAGACCCAGGCCAUAUGCCCGGCCUGGAGGACUGCCCUUGUUUACAGCAACAGGAUUUGGAGUGGGCAGGCUGAUGGGGAGGUUUUAAGGAGUGCAUUAGGAUUGCAUUAGGGGCAGAAAUUUAAGACUACCUAGUAGAUUAUGUGAGAAGCAUACCCCGCUGCACUCAAGGGGGACAGGCUUUCUCAAGGUCACACAUGACAGCUAAAGUUCAUAAGGGUCACAUGGCCCCAGGAUACUGAUGGACAAGGGAGCACAUUAUUUUUUCUUCUUGAAUAUUUUCAGGGUUAUAGACCCGAUGUCCAGCCUGGACCCUCUGCCCACUGGUUUCAUUCUUUACAGGGUAGCUUCCAGGAAAUGACAUGGGGCCAGCACCUUCUGAUUGAGUUCCCUUAGCAUUAUUAUUGCAAUUGUUCUUUCUAAGAGAAGGAGAAGGGAUUGGCAUGCCUAAGCCACACACCUAUAUUAAAAGCAGAGCACAUUUAUCUGGGCGGGUAUCAGUCUGGCAGCUGUAACCCAGAGAAAGUGAUUGUGACUUAAACAAGAUGGUUCAUUUCUCAUCCACGUGGGUGGUGGGUGGUUUGGAGCUGUUGUUGCAGAUUCACACUCACCAGGGACUCUGUCUCCCAUUUGAUGGUCUUGUAUUUCACCACCUUCAACAUACAGCUCCCAGUUCACUGGCCGAACACCAGGGAGGAGGGAAAAAGAAGGCGAGAACAAACCAGAAUAAGAUGUACUAAUAAAAUUAGUACAUCUCACCUUCUCUUCCUACCCACUUACUGGAACUUAGCUGUUUUCCUAGAUGCAGGGGAGACUGGGAAAUGGACACCACUCAGGUGUUUCAGCAAAAGCUUCUCAUUACAUGCAAGAAGAGCGAGUCUUCUCUAGGUAUUUACUAUAGGGAAAAUCCUGUCAAAGCCUUUACUCAGAAGCUUUCUGAAGCUUCUAUUUAGGAAACAAAGAAGUUCCUUGGGCCCCAAACCAGGUAGGCAAGUGGUGAUCAAACCACACUAGGACCCUCAAUGCCUUCCCCAAGGAGCAGGACAUCGUGGGAUCAGCUGCCUGGGUCUCACCUGAGGUCUUGCAGGGGGAGUGACGUCAGGUCAUGACAGAGGAGGCAGCUUCUGCCUCAUUUGCUGGAAAGCUCAUGCUGGAGCCUUGAGCUGCAUGGGGUUGCCACAUAAGACGUCUCACCACUCCAUGAUUGCCUUGCUGGAGAGACCACAGCCAAGUGAGCGAGCUGCCUUCAUACCUGCCUAGGGAAACUCUCUGGACCACUGCUGCCCUUGCUGCCCCUAUCAACUGAAGCUGCAUGGGACAUCCCAGCCACAACUGCCAAGUUGAGCCCUUCAGCUUGCUUUUGGCUACCUACAAAGUCUCCAAAUUUUUCUUCUCUGAAGUUGGCUGCUGGAAGCCUCUCCAUGUCCUUCAGAAGCCCACAAAAGCUUUUAAAAGAUCGGCAAUGCGGGGGCAGAAAUGGCUGACUGUAGAAUUCCUGGAGAUCUGAAAACUCUGAAAUCCUGAAUGCUAAAUUCUGGGGGCUACUUCUGCAGAUCCAGCAGCCAAAAGCAAAUGAUUGUUCUAAGCUGCUAAGCUUUGGGCUAAUUUCUUAGUAACUUGUACUCUUAGGCCCUAUGUUCUGUCAUUGCAAUAUUAGAAGAUUAUAUGUAACCAGAAGGUAAUGUUCCAACAAAUAUUUUGAGAAACAUACUUCAAACAUUUAAGGGAUUAAGGAUAUUGUUAUCCAGAAGACUUGUUCGAUUAUUUAAUUAAAAUGGUCCUUGAAUUAACGGAUCUGAAUAUCCUUUUUCCCAAAACUUUUUUCAAGUUUAUAUUGACAAUAUUUCCAAGUUUUUAUGAAAAUUUUCAAAUCCAUAGAGAAGUUGAAAGACUAAUACCAAGAAGAAUGAUACGCCUCCCACUGAGAUAAUAGAACAAUUAAUAUUAUGCCAUAUGAUAAGGAUUUUCUGUACCAUUUGACAGAAAGUUUCAGAAUAUCUUAUUUUCAAUUAACCCUUUUUAAACGAUCAUAUAGGUAAUGCAGGUUCAUUAUAUAGCUCUUGUACAA